rnacentral:ncRNA from 1 species
AGCCGGGGACGACCCCGAUGCAGCUCACAAUACCACCGGGACGACCCGA